GGGCUGCUGGAGAAGCGUGUUCUUGACAUAUUGAGAAGUUCUUAUUGACAACUUAAGGUGGAAAAGGAGUAAGGGAACUUUAAAGAUAAGACACAGGAUUCCCCCCAGGCUGCAGCAGCCUGAGUCUCCUUCGUGUGAGGACAUGCAAUCCUUCUUGGGCCUCAGAGUUUUCACAGCUGCAAAUUGGGUAUUGGUACUGCCUCUGAGGACGGUCGGGAAUAUUAAAUAAGAUGACGUCUGUGAAGCAUUUAGCGUAGAGCCUGGAAUACAGGGGAUGCACCAUGAAGUCCCGUUACUCUCCUGGAGCAGAAGGAAUGGUACAUUAGAACACAUGCUGAACCAAACUUCCAAUAAAUAAUGUUUUGAGGAGGAAAGACUCAAUGUACUAGAGAAAGAACUUCUAAAUACUGACCCUUAAUUCUUAUAAAGCAAAGAUAACCAGAGAAGAUGGAGAGUGGGAUGGGGAUGGGAGCAGAGGACAUAAAUCAUCAAGAAGGAGAAGCGGAAGAAAAGAAGGAAGAGACAUGAAGGGAAAACAUCAGAAACACUAAACAAAAAGGAACCAACUCUGAGCCCAGGACUCAGCCUGAUGAGAUGGGUCAUCAUGAGUUAUACCCUCACGGCUCACACGAGAGCCACGGUGCCGGGGCCCAGGGACCUCCCUGUCUAACACAAGCUCCGAAUUCCAGAAUCAUAGACUCUUAGAGCUAGAACACUCCUCUGAGUUCACCUCUCACCCCCAGGGCAGUGAUUCCUCUGCACUACCCCUAAAUCUUUCCGUGUAACUUUGUCCUGUGGCAGGACACUCAUUCAUUACCAGUGGGAGUGUUCCUU